rnacentral:lncRNA from 1 species
GGGCAUUUUCAGACCUGCCUUUGGGGGGCGCUCGUGCGUAGGUGCUGACCUCCAGGCUGAGAUGUGCAACACCCAGGUAGGCCUGCUCUCUCGGGCUGGGGAGGGGGUGAGGUCACAGGACAAGGGCACCUGUGAUUUGCGGUUCACACAAUUUUUUUAAAAGGCACGGACAUAGUCAAUGUUUAUAAUCAGCCUUGUUUUCUGAAGUUGGGGCCUCCCACCAGCAGCCUGGCUUUGCUUCUUGUUGCUGGGGUAGGCCCUGCCCUGUGCCCUUUACAUACUCUCGUAGAGUUCUCCCAUCAGCAGAGGAAGGCACCCCACUGUACAAGCAGGAACGUCAGGUGCAGCCUGGAGCUGGGCCCAAACCCUCUUCUUUGGGAAUUCCCAUGGUGGCUCAGCAGUAACAAACCUGACAUAGUCUCUGAGAGGAUUAACACCAGAUCCUUAACCCACUGAGCAAGCCCAGGGCUGGAACUGGCAACCUCAUGGUUCCUAGUCGGAUUCAUUAGCCACUGAGCCAAGGCGGGAACUCCCUGCAGUCAGAUUCUUAACCCACCGGGGGAGCUCCCAAUCCCCGCCCCCGUCUCCGCCCUCGAGCUGUAGGGGGCCUUGCUGUCUCCCAGGGGCUAGGACCCUCUACCCUAGACCCGCCCCCCAUGCCCCCUGCCCCUGCCCCUCCUGUGCCUGUCCUCUGCCUCCUCCUGCCAGGCCUGCGAGAAGACCCAGCUGGAGUUCAUGUCCCAGCAGUGCGCACAGACCGACGGGGAGCCCCUGCGCCUCUCCCCGGGCAGCACCUCCUUCUAUCACUGGGGCGCCGCCGCGCAGUACAGCCAAGGGGACACUCUGUGCAGACACAUGUGCUGGGCGGUUGGCGAGAGCUUCAUUGUGCGGCGUGGGGACAGGUUCCUGGACGGGACUCGGUGUGUGCCCGGCGGCCCCCGACAGGACGGGACCCUGAGCCUGUGCGUGUCAGGCAGCUGCAGGACGUUCGGCUGUGACGGCAGGAUGGAUUCCGGGCAGGUGCCAGACAUGUGCCAGGUGUGCGGCGGGGACAACAGCACGUGCAGGCCACAGAACGGCUCUUUCACGGCUGGAAGGGCCAGAGAGUAUGUCACCUUCCUGACUGUCACCCCCAACCUGACCAACAUCCAUGUCAUCAACCACAGGCCUCUCUUCACACACCUGGCCGUGCGGAUCCGCGGGCGCUACGUCGUGGCUGGAAAUGCCAGCAUCUCUCCCAGCAUCACCUACCCCUCCCUCCUGGAGGACAGCCGUGUCGAGUACAGAGUGGCCCUGACUGAGGAUCGGCUGCCCCACCGGGAGGAGCUCCGCAUCCGGGGACCCACCCAGGAGGACCUGGAGAUCCAGGUUUACAGGCGCUACGGCCAGGAGUACGGCCGCCUCGCCCGCCCAGACAUCACCUUCACCUACUUCCAGCCUGAGCAGCAGCAGGCCUGGGCGUGGGCUCCUGUGCGGGGGGCCUGCUCGGUGAGCUGUGGGGCAGGGCUGCGUCAGGUGACCUACAGCUGUUGGGACCAGGCCAGGAAUGCAUGGGUGGAGGCUGCCCUGUGUGCAGGAGCCGGCGGCCGGCGGCGUGGUCCGAGUCCUGCACCCCUGCUCCCUGCCCCCCGUUGUGAGUGUCGUAGCGGGCUCACCAGGGCCGCUGGGCUCUCUCCUGGCUCGUGGGCCCUCUAGCAUGGCCUGGGCCAACAGUGUUCUCCUCCAGUUCUGCAGAUUUCCCUGUGGGGUGGGUUCUGUCAUUGUCCCCGUGUAGGAGGUGAGGACAGUGAGACAGGCAGACACGAGUGACAGUGUCAGCCUGGUGUGACCUGCACCCACUGUACCUGGUCUGCGGGCAGCUCCCUGCACGAUGGACAUGAUUGCCCUGCGGGGGAGGGUGGGGGAGAUCAGGGAGCUGGCCACGCCCUGGCGGGUGCUGCUGGCAAGAACGGAACACGAGGGACAAGGCUGUCCUAUUGGGUGCAGGGCUGGGGCAGUUUUUAUUUUUUUGGCCGUGCCCGCAGCAAGCAGAGGUUUCUGGGCCAGGGAUUGAACUUGUGUCAUGGCUGCCACCCGAGCCAUAGCAGUGAUAAUGCCAGGUCCUUAACCUGCUGAGCCACCAGGGAACUCCUGGGACACUUUUAUACAGAUGUCCUCAGGCUCUGGUGCAGCUUGGGGUCUGGAGAGCUGAAGGGUGGGGCGCUGCAGCCCAGAGCAGGGGUCCAGCCCAGAGCAGGGACAUGAGUCACCUUGCAGAUCAGCUGGCCUCCUGCUCUGCGCCCGAGUCCUGGGCCAGCCCGGGCUGCAUCCUGGGCUGCGUCCUGGCCAGGCCCCAUGCUCUGCUCCUCUCCUCAGCUGGGCAGUUGGAGACUUCGGCCCGUGCAGCGCUUCCUGCGGGGGAGGCCUGCAGGAGCGGGCGGUGCGCUGUGUGGAGGCCCAGGGUGGCCUCCUAAGGACGUUGCCCCGCUCGCGGUGCAGAGCGCUGGCCCAGCAACCUGCGGCCGUGGAGACCUGCAACGCACAGCCCUGCCCCACGAGGUGAGCCUCAGGGUGGGGCCGGGUCCCCCGCAAGGCCAGAUCCAGGCAGGGUCUCCCCAGCAGGGCUUGGCCCUGUGCUGAGCCCCUUCUGAGUGUCCCCGCUUCCCAAGGCCUCUGGCUGCACCUCCCCACCCCUCCCACCCCCGCCCCCGCGGCAGGGGAGUGUCAGCUUCCAAAUUACCAGCUACCCAGGAGGCCCUGGGUUGGCUAUUUCCCUUGGCACUUCCUCGUGGAGGGUCUGUGAGGACACGAAGGUAAAGCCAUAAAUGUCACGUUGUCAUUGCUAUUGUCAUGUCACCAUAUUGUCCCCCCACUGUGCUCUAGCUGGCAGAAACUUGCCAUUCCAAUUGGCCACUGACUUGGGUGGCCUGAGCAAGUCCCCUCCCUCUCUGGGCCCGUUUUGUUACCUGUCCGGUGGGGGUGGGGGUGGGCCUAGGUCACUGGCGGUCCAUACACGGCUCUGGGCACCUUCCACCACCUUGCAUCCGUGGCACAUGUCACAGCCAGUCACCACUCUUUUCUGCUGAGGGCUGAUCCUGCCGCAGACUCCUUAACACAGCACUCUAAGCAGCCACCACCUCUCAGCGGUGGCACAGGGGACGCAUUGACUGUCCCCAACCUGGUGAUCUGAUUGUGCCUGGCACUUGUUCCUUGGCACCCUCUAGGUUGUGUGGAGCGAUGCCCUUGGCUGGUCGGGGGCCCCGCCUCUGCUUCUGGGAGGCUGGUGGGUCGGGGCUUGUGUGCCUGCACCCUGGGUGUCAAGUCAGGGACCAGUGGCAGCUCCCCAGUCUUCAGGGAAGGGCCCCUGGUCUUGGCCUCUUUGUGGGGACUCCUCUUUGGGCUCUUGGAUAUUGGGGAGUAGGCUCACUGCCUCCCUGCCCCAGGAGCCGGGCUGCUCCGGCAGCUCAAUGGCGCGGGCAAGGCCUGAUGGCGAUCCCGUGCCAUCCUCAGAGAGACAUCGGACAUCUGCCCGUCAGCCUGUGGAGCAGAACUGGCCGUGCAGAAUGUGACGUGUGUGCAGGGGGCAGAGGGCAUGGGGGCGCUGGCCACUGCUGGGCCCUGCCCCACAGACCAGAAGCCAUCUGCCCUAGAGCCGUGUAUCGAGGUGACAUGUCCUCCAGGCUGGGGCCAUGUGAGUGUCCUGGGCACCAGAGGGCUGGGGCUUGUGGGUCCUUUUCUGGCCAGGAGAACGGGGAGCCCUGGUUCCCACUGGCCUCCUGGCCGGAGCCGGAAGACUGCCCAUCUGCAGGGCUGCGGUCCUUGGGGUUCCUUCGGUCAGAGGAUGAACUUAGAGUCAGGGCUUCUAGGAAGGCUCCUUCCCGCUGGCUCGCAGGCCCAGGACUCCAGACCCUGGUAGCUGCUGUCGGUUCUCUGCUACGUGGAGAAACGCGGCCACGCUCCUGCCGGCGUCCAUGGGCUCAGGCUGGGUGGGCUUGCUUCAGACAAGGGUGCUGGCCAACCGGGGCCCUCGGGAGCUGGUGGGGCUUUCAGGGCCAAGCAUGCCUGCAAACCUGGCUCCUGAACCCCCCGCUCAGUCACCCCUGCCACACGGUGACUGCUCACGCAGAUGCAGAGGCCGAGGCAGGGUGUGCGGCGAGGGCAUCCACUGGGGGCCAGAAAGCAAGGCUCCCGGGAAAGGGGCAGCGGGGCCGGGCAGCCUCUGGAGAGCUGGUGACACUGAUACUCUCUUUUGCACAGACUGGGGUGGGAGGGGGUGGAGAGCCAGGUGCCCAGGGGGCUGGAGGCAGGAAGCCCAGACCCACCAGCUUGUUUGUGGCCCCGCAGCUGGAGGCCCAGUCUCCAGGCGAAGAGGCUGUGUCCCCAGCGGGCAGCGCCAGGCUGGAGGUUCAGGCCGCACACGUGUGGACUCCUCUGACGGGGCCGUGCUCCGUCUCCUGUGGUCAAGGUGAGGCCCCCCCGCUCUCCUAAGCACCCACUAACUCUAAAAACCAUAUGAGGCGGCUUCCGGAAUAUCCAGCUGCAUCAGAACAUGCCUUUAAAUGCAAGGAGCUUGGGGCCAAGUAUGGACAAGCCAAAUGAAUGUGCUCAUUGAUUGGCUGGAAGAUAGGAAUUGUCAUAAAAGUGGCCAAAUUGGCACCUAAGAGCACGUUCUUAAGGUCUAAGAUGGGCCCCAAACUUAGCUCUGAGCUUCCUGGCGGCCAGACCAGAGAAACAAAGUUAGUGUUAAGAUACACAGUGUUCUUGGGAGUUCCCAUUGUGUCUCAGCGGUAACAAACCUGACUAGUAUCUGUGAAGGAUGCAGGUUCAAUCCCGGGCCUCGCUCAGUGGGUUAAGGAGCUGGUGUUGCCAUGAGCUGCGGUGUAGGUUGCAGAUGCGGCUUGGAUCUGGCAUUGCUGUGGCUGUGGCUGUGGCCAGCAGCUGGAGCUCCAAUUUGACCCCUAGCCUGGGAUCUUCUGUAUGUUACAGGUGUGGCCCUAAAAAGACAAAAAAAAAAAAAAAAAAAAAA